UGCAUGAUGAGGUCCUCCUUGACCAGCUC
rnacentral:sRNA from 1 species